CCCUUAGAUGUUCUGGGCCGCACGCGCGCUACACUGACGAAUGCAACGAGCUUAUAACCUUGGCCGAAAGGUCUGGGUAAUCUCCAAAUUUCGUCGUGAUGGGGAUAGGUUAUUGCAAUUAUUAAUCUUCAACGAGGAAUGCCUAGUAAGCGCAAGUCAUCAGCUUGCGUUGAUUACGUCCCUGCCCUUUGUACACACCGCCCGUCGCUCCUACCGAUUGAAUGGUCCGGUGAAGCGUUCGGACCGUGGCCUUUGGACGGUUCGCCGUCUGUUGGCUGCGGGAAGUUCGUUAAACCUUAUCAUUUAGAGGAAGGAGAANUCGUANCA
rnacentral:rRNA from 1 species